rfam:Loxodonta africana unplaced genomic scaffold scaffold_37, whole genome shotgun sequence.
GGCGGUGUAGCGGUUAAGCAUUUGGCUGCUAACCAAAAGGUCGAUGGCUCAAAUCCACCAGCCGCUC